AGGGACCUGAGAGAGGGUGGGCUGCCAUGCCAGUCUCUGAUUCUGCUGCAACCGCGUUCCUCUUUAGCAGACCUACCUGGCGGGCCUCCUUGGCCUUCUGGAGCUUACUUGGAACUGAACUUGGACACCAGCAACUUUUUUCCAUAGUUGCCUGGGUGCAGCAGCAGCUUCGAUGCUUGCAGGGAAGACAGAAGCUCUGAGAUUGCCAGAGAGGCAGCGAGGCAGGCAGAAGAAAACAGCCCAUCCAACAGCCCUGGACUUGGAGGACUUUGCUGUGUCACUUUGUAGCUGGAGGCCCUGGAGCAAGUCACCAACUCUCUGAAACUCAGUGUGCUCAUCUGCAGGCUGGGAAUAAGAUUGCCUCUCCUUCAUAUCUUUACAUCAGACCUACAAGAGAUAAUGCAUGUGCAAGUGUUUGGUUAAAUCAUAAAGUGACAAAUAUUAGUAUACCUGUCAGCUCCCGGAGGGCGGGGACGGUCUUGUUUAUCUGCAAAUUCCUCUGCGAUGUCUGGUUUAUUGGACAGGAAAGUAAAUGUGGUGACUUUCUGGAAGUUUCCAUUUUGCCCCACUGGUGAUCUGUGUGAUGAAGUAUAUACUAAGGCUCUGGUGUGAUAGUUUGUUAGGACUACCAUGACAAAGUACCAUAGAUUGCGUGUUUUACACAACAGAAGUAUAUUCAGG
rnacentral:lncRNA from 1 species